rnacentral:lncRNA from 1 species
GCAGAAGAGGAUGCUGUUGUACACAUCAUCCUUGAGAUAGGAUGUAGAAACCCAGACACAGAUGGAUUGAUGAUACUCUAGAUACCGAGGCUUUAGGAAUUAUUGACAAAAGGAGUAAGAAUGUGGAGAGAAUUACAUAGCUGCAAAGAAUGUUUGUCAUAGCUGCAAUGGGAGUAAGAAGACAUUGAAGGACAUUGAAUAGAAAGUAGAAACACUUUACAUCAAAAGGAAAGAAAUUCAUA